rnacentral:tRNA from 1 species
GCCUGGAUAGCUCAGUUGGUUUCAGCAUGGUGCUGAUAACGCCAAGUUUGCAGGUUAGAUCCCCGUGUGGGUA